rnacentral:pre_miRNA from 1 species
UGUAAUGCGGGAAAAUGGUAACUUAGUCAUCCCAAGGCGUGUAUCACCCAUGUUACGGGCGACCUGUAACACGGGUGAUACACGCCUUGUGACGACUAAGUUACCAUUUUCCCUCGUUACA